rnacentral:rRNA from 1 species
UCUGACCUCAAAUCAGGUAGGACUACCCGCUGAACUUAAGCAUAUCAAUAAGCGGAAAAGAAAAUUAUUGAAAUU